rnacentral:lncRNA from 1 species
AAAGCUUUGAAGACAUCUACAAUGAUGACAUAUGAAUACAAAUGUCUUAUGACAAAAAGUAAUAUGAGACAUCUAUAUUUAUUUUUUCUCUUCAAUACAAGCUAUCAUUAUUGGGCAUCAUAAAAAAUAGAAAAUAAAGACUAAUAUAUAUGCAUCUCUACUUUUCACCCUAACUUUUUCAGUUUUUUACACCAGAUCAUAUUUUUCUCUUCAAACACCCGCCUCCUGCAAAGGAUUCCGCUUCCUCAUCCGAAUCUAUUUUUGCUGACAAUCAAUCCUGCAUGACAUAUGAGACAUCAUCUUGAGAAAGGAUCCGGAGGCCGCUCUCACGUCGUGACCGAAAGUUCAUCAUGCCAAAGACAAUUGGCUGCUCGUCGAUAUUUCUUUUUCUCAAGAAAAACAUCAGCAGGAGGCCAUCCUGCAUUUUUUUAAUUAGAGAACUCUCGCAGGUGAGCACUUCAUGGUUUAGUGAGCUCAUUCUGAGAGUCGUAGCUUCGCGUUAGAUCUGGCUUGCGUAAAGGCAAAUUUUAUAUAACCCUUUUUUACAUGUAAGGUAAAAAAUUAGAAGUUAACCCGACUAUUAAUUAAUAUGAUCAAUGGCUCAAAUUUAUUAUAUAUCUCACCUUUCACGCGAAAAAAA